AGUAUUUAGGAGAAAUUAAAGCAGAAACAGAUUUAAUUGAAGCGGCUAAAGAUCAUGGGAUUGAUCCUAAAGCUGAAAUGUGGAAAUUGCCUGCAGUGUUUGUUGGUUUCUAUGCGGAACAAGAUGCACGGCUCACGUACCUAUUAUGGCAAAGAUUUAAACAUGAAAUCCAUACUCAAAAUUUAACUACAAUAUGGGAAUUAGAAUCUGAUUUACUUCCAAUAUUAAUUAAAAUGAGAAAGCGUGGUGUAAGAGUAGAUAUUGAUAAAGCAAAUAAAUUAACUACAGAGUUUAUAUCACAAGAAAAAUUACUAUUGCAAAAGAUUAAACAACUUGUUGGUAAAGAUAUUGAUAUCUGGGCCACAACUGACGCUGAGGGACGAAAGCUAGGGGAGCGAAAGGGAUUAGAUACCCCUGUAGUCCUAGCUGUAAACGAUGGAUACUAGGUGUUGGGCGUAUCGACCCGUCCAGUACCGUAGCUAACGCGUUAAGUAUCCCGCCUGGGGAGUACGCACGCAAGUGUGAAACUCAAAGGAAUUGACGGGGGCCCGCACAAGCGGUGGAGGAUGUGGUUUAAUUCGAUGCAACGCGAAGAACCUUACCAAGGCUUGACAUCCUGCGAAUCCUUCAGAGAUGAGGGAGUGCCUUCGGGAGCGCAGAGACAGGUGGUGCAUGGCUGUCGUCAGCUCGUGUCGUGAGAUGUUGGGUUAAGUCCCGCAACGAGCGCAACCCUCGUUCUUAGUUGCCAUCAUUAAGUUGGGCACUCUAGGGAGACUGCCGUGGACAACACGGAGGAAGGUGGGGACGACGUCAAGUCAUCAUGCCCCUUACGUCCUGGGCUACACACGUCCUACAAUGCUACAGACAGAGGGCAGCGAGCGCGCGAGUGCAAGCAAAUCCCAUAAACUGUGGCUCAGUUCAGAUUGCAGGCUGUAAUUCGCCUGCAUGAAGGCGGAAUCGCUAGUAAUCGCCGGUCUAUCGUGACUGGGAAAC
rnacentral:rRNA from 1 species